rnacentral:lncRNA from 1 species
CAUGUCUCUCUUGGCCCCCAGCACUGAUGGUGCCAGCUGUUAGCCAACCGUAGGGAUGAAUUUCAAAACAACAAGCACAGAAGUAGAAGGGUGCUGGAGGGGCAGAUAUGUUUUUCCUCUGACUAUCCUAAACCCUCCCACAAAGCCCCUCGCUUCCCAGGCCAUGUUUUUGUGGUGAAGAUUGACCACGGACCAGCAUCUGCAGGCAGACAUUCAAUCAAUCUAGCCCUGGGCUACAGGAUCAAACACAGGACACCCUGUUCAACUGGAAUUUCAGAUAGAUCCCACCCCAGGCUCCAGCCCUGUGUGUGCAGCAGCCUCCUGGAUGCCCCUCGGCUGUCUAACGGACAUCUCAAAUCUACAUGCCUCCACUUGAAAAGGGUAAGUUUCACGGAACAUGAGCAUGCUCACCCCUACUCCCUUGUGAGCCCC